UUAGGCGAAUCUGUUUUCAUUACUUGAAUCAACUUCACUGAACUGAAUCGAUUAUCCGUAAAAAGGAAGUAUCAGUUUGAUGAAGAUUAAGGCGUUUCCCCACCUUUAGUAUACAUCCGAUGAAAGUGGUGAACCGGGAUGUGUAUAAAUGGCAAGAAAAAUGCCCAAUCAUAGGGCGAUUCUACACAUUAAGUGAAAUAACAUCAAGACAAAUACCCGGCAUAUUAGAAAUACUCAAGGUAAUUGCUUAUUCAUCUCUAUAUUAUUAUAAUUUCUAAUGAUACUUUGCAAAACAUAUCAACUAGUUUUAUCUUGAUCUGAAGAGCAUAAAACUCAGAAGCAUAGAACUGGAUAGGACUUCAGAAAUUGUCUGGCUUAGGAGCUCUUAAAU
rnacentral:lncRNA from 1 species